UGGUACGCAGGGACCUAGACGAAAUCCGGCAGCAAUGUCCAGACUUGGUCCGUACCGAAGAAUACCAGGAGGCUGUGGAAGAAGCCCUGCAGCGGGGUCCCUGCCGUUGCCAGCCCGGUCCGCUGGUGCUACGGGCCACCCUGACACCAGGUUCCUUGUUCUGCGGCCUAUGCGACGGCUCACCUCCCUACCGCUGGCGGCCGCGCUUCCCGUACGAGGUGCUGGUUGUUGUGGGAGGCUCCUCGGAUGACGGGCAGCCCCGCGCGUCCAUCGAGGUGUACGACCCCAAAGCCGACCGAUGGGUGGUGCACACCAACGAUGCCGUCACACCCAGGCAAGAAACUUUGACCGCGCUUGAUCACUAC
rnacentral:lncRNA from 1 species